AACCUACGGGAGGCAGCAGUGGGGAAUAUUGGACAAUGGGGGCAACCCUGAUCCAGCAAUGCCGCGUGUGUGAAGAAGGCCUUCCGGGUUGUAAAGCACUUUCAGUAGGGAGGAAAGGUGCGUAGUUAAUACCUGCGCAAUUGACGUUACCUACAGAAGAAGCACCGGCUAACUCCGUGCCCAGCAGCCGCGGUAAUGGUU
rnacentral:rRNA from 1 species